rnacentral:rRNA from 1 species
UAAGUAGGGUGCGAGCGUUGUCCGGAAUUAUUGGGCGUAAAGAGCUUGUAGGCGGUUUGUCGCGUCUGCCUUGAAAUUUCGGGGCUCAACCCCGAACUUGCGGUGGGUACGGGCAGACUAGAGUGUGGUAGGGGAGACUGGAAUUCCUGGUGUAGCGGUGAAAUGAGCAGAUAUCAGGAGGAACACCGGUGGCGAAGGCGGCUUUCUGGACGACAACUGACGCUGAGACGCGAAAGCGUGGGGAGCAAACAGG